rnacentral:rRNA from 1 species
GAUCCUGGCUCAGGAUGAACGCUAGCUACAGGCUUAACACAUGCAAGUCGAGGGGGCGAGCAUUCCAGUUUGCUUGCAAACUGGAGAUGGCGACCGGCGCACGGGUGAGUAACACGUAUCCAACCUGCCGAUAACUCGGGGGAUAGCCUUUCGAAAGAAAGAUUAAUACCCGAUGGCAUAAUAGAACCGCAUGGUUUGAUUAUUAAAGAAUUUCGGUUAUCGAUGGGGAUGCGUUCCAUUAGGCAG